GAAGCUCGCUGCAUUAACAAGGGUCAGUGAACCGAAGAAUCUUUCGCAGUUGCCAAACGACUUUUCUCUGAACCCCGUGAUUGGUGUGAUUUUGAGCUAAUCAGUGCAAGUAAUACGAGACUUUAAUUAAAAGUGCAUGCACAAAGACGACUGCACAUUAAUUGUGCUUUUGUUGUCUUCAUUAUGUGUUCUCACCAUUUAGUCUUGCCCUAUAUGUGCUCCCGUGUUGGGCCAAGUUGAUGUAAUGUUUUACCACUCACUUGUAUGAGCCAAUUGAUGCCCCUACAGAAUCAUUCUGGCUUCGUUUUUGAAGCUGAGGUAUGAAUUUUAUGCAUUCAGUUGCACGAUUUGAGUCUUCGUCGGGUAUGACAGGAUCACAUGUGGCAGCGGAAACAUGGUGACAUUUUUGGAGUGCUGACCAAUGCACCAGAUAUGUAUGUUGCGUGUAUGUUGAAAGCACUGACAGAAGUGAUCGUUGCACAGCAUCAACCCGGCUGUUUUAUUCAAUCGAUGUUGUAUGUUUUUAACCAGGGUGUUUUUUUCCUAUUGAUGUUUUGUGCAUGUGCACAACUUGAUUAUUUCUGUGACCUGUUUUCUCGGCUUUACCUCGUGUCAUGUUUGUUUCGACGUCAUGAUAGGCUAUGAAAUAUUCACACCUGAUUUUUGUGAGGGCACUGAAACUGAACAACGUUGUUUUAGAAUUUUAUGUUCUACAUGAAUGUUUUCGCCUUUUUAUUCUGGCAUAGGGCACUGAGUAAACAAACUGUUUGAGGAAGCAAAUGAACCCGCUUAUAGAGCUUGGCAGUGUAUACAUCUACGCUGAUUACAGCGAAUGGCUGCAGUUCUUGCAUGGGAUUCCUGCAUUGGAAGAAAAAAGCGUCCAACAUUAUGGUCUUUUGGUAGCUACGUCGAGCUAAAAUUAGCAUCCUCCAUGUCGGACGAAAUAUUGCGUGUCGAGUUUGUGCACAGCAUACUACCUUGUGCACAGCAUAGAUGCUGAUGCUGUUCCAUUCGUAUAAUUUCAGCUAUUGUAAGUUCAGGGUUUGAGAGACAAACUCAGUGGAAUCGUGCAGUUGUAGCCACCUGAAUUUAAAGUUAGUGCAGUGCGCUGGUUUUGAAAUUCUUCACAGGGUAAGAAAUCUCAAGAAUUUUUAGAUUUACUUCUUUUUUAGGCUGAGGACAGUUGUACCCUUCAGUUGGUGUGCAGUUAAAAUUCCGGGAAGGUAGCGAGCCACACUCCUUUGUCAGAAAGGCAGCUUGUGUAUCUUAGAUUGUCAGGACAUUGCUGCACUCGCCAGCAGUUAGUCUGCUUCAAUUGCGAUGUAGGCUUGAAACCUUGUACAUAAGGUCAUAGCCACGUGGUGUGUGCGAAAUAGGCACCAGUAAUGGCCUCAUAGAUGGCUUCAAGAUCUCUCCAACUGGAUGUGUCUACUAAAUGGACCAUGCUUUGUAAAAGUAAAAUCUCUGCUUAGAAUUGACUUUUGGAGUGCGUUCUCAUUAGAAAUGCUUGACUAGAUUUUUGCGGAGGUGUGAUAGCAACAUUCUAGUCUUGCAUUUUGAGCCUCUCAACCAUAAUGCCGCUUUUUAACGAAGCAAGCUUUCAACACAUCUGUGUUUGCAGCUUUUUAUCAUACAGAUCUUCGCAUGCUUCACGGUGAAAUUUAAAAAGUGGAGCGCCCAGAUUGUCUGAUAUUUUUGUUUCUUGAGCAAGUCUUUGUCAGUCAUGUACUCAUUCUAUCACUGGUUUUUUAAGCUUAUAUUUGUUGGGAAAUGUCUGCUUCUUGUUAUGAGGCACUUAGAACAAAUUUACAUUGUAAAAAAAUUGCAAGAACAAAAUUGUUUUGUGUAUAUAAACUUUUUCUUUUCUUUUCCAGUAAAUCCAGGGCUAACCUUGUUUUAAAGAGAAACGAAUGCUCCAAUUACUUAAAAAUUCUUAAGGUUUCAAUAAAAUGUACCACUCGGAUUAACAUGUGCAAUUGUCUUAUGCAAAACGUCCCAAACUGUAAAAGGUAUGACACAGACGUGAGGGGAAUAAAACACAGAUGAAGUUUCUUGUUGAAAAGCAUAAGUCAUACGUGACUGUUUAAACGUUUACAACAAUGUGCUUAUGAUAACACAGCUUGUGGAUGUCGUUUAAAAGUGGUAGAAGCUCUUUGGCUUUACUGGCGAUUUUCUGCAUUGAAAGCUGCUUCUGGAAGCCAGCUUUGCUGAAGAGGAUAGCGACUAUCUUCACUUCGAUGCCAGAUUUCUUGAUGCCUCUAAUCUCGCCCACAGUGCAUGAGAAAACUCCGGAGCGUCUUUCUUGUAAAGGCCGUGUAUUCAAACAUGUCUCGUGAUGCGAGCGAAUUGAAGCAGGGAGGGGAUGUUGCGAUGUUCUUGUGUUCUGCUAUUCGUUGUCAAGUGUUCGCUUCCAGAACUGUGCUUACCAGAUAAGUGAGGCACGGCAAAGUUCGUGUGAAUGAAAAAAAAAGAUAAAAGAAAGUAUAUGCGAUUACAGGUUGAAUGUGGAGGGCGCCAAGCUCUUGUUGAUAGACUACUGGUUUGAUGUGCCUCUUGAGCACAUCGUAGCGAUUGGGUCAUGAUACAGCAUGCUAUUACUUGUACAUGUUGCUUUAUUUUCAUGUGUAACACAUGCACCAAAAAUUCCAGAAAUUUAGAUACAACGCAGACACGCAGUUAAACAGCAUGUUCGCAGAUUAGUGUUCGCACAUGCUCUUUAUUUUUUUCUCUUCUCACUGAAAAUUUAGUGGAUUGUUUUUUCUCUAAAAUGCACUAAUUUUUUCUUGAAACGUUUAAAACAACCUCUACAUUUAGUUCUUGCUGCAGCUAAACCUUGCAGCACAGGACCUUCAGCACACCCUUUUCGAAAAGAUUAGCCAUAAUUUCUUGGCAGUUAGUGAAUCCGAGAACUUGGCACCCUUUGUAUUCAUAGUGACAAAGGUUCCUGCGUGCUUUGCCUGCUAGAGCGAUAGAAACGAUUGUUUUGCGAAUCCGAGUCGCAAGUCGCUGAACUACUUCCUCACGAUUCAAGCAAGUCGCUCUCGCUGUUGCAGCUUUGCGAUCAUGUUGGCGAAGGCACUUUUUGUGAAGCUUUGGCUCAGCUGGCGACGCGAUUACAACGCGCGGCACAUGAGCUUGUACAGCGUAUACCAUGUGCAAUCACUUAGGGAAUUUCUUAAGCAUAAUCUGUCAUUGUUGAGCAGUUCACCUUUACUGAAAGGUUUUUUUUUUUUUUGUUAACAACCAUAGGUUCAUUGUACCAUCAGUGUUCAUCUUUUUUCCACCGCUUGUAGAGUGUCUGCUUAGCCAUGUACCUAUUCUUCGGCACCUUUUGAAGCAUGGUGUUGAUGUUCGCAUCAUCUUCCUCCAAGUCUACAAAACGCUGUGCAUGCGUGUCAUAAAAGUAUAUGUUGUUUCGUGACAUGGUUUUGCAUAUCUAUUUUUUGUACAUAACACUACUCUCGCCAGUUAUACAAGUAUCUAGCGAUGUGCAUGUUGACAUAAAUAUGUGUGCUUAUGUCUCUUCUGGCAUUGCAGUUCCAUGAUCUGUGAAAGGAAAUGCGUAUGGUACAGUUGCUGCGCUCAUUUUGUUUCUGGGUACCAGCUUGGUGUUUGACAAAUCAUGGUAGGCAAAUCUGGGAAGGUAAAAGCAUAAUAACAGGCUGAGUUUCAUUAGAUCUGGCUUAUAUAUUUUUAUGGGACAGUUGUAUCAAAUGAUAAAACAUGCAUCGGUCUAGUUUAGAGUUCUUGCUACACACAUUAUAAAAGCUUGCAAUGGGGCAAGUUGGAUUUUUUUUUCAUAAUGACAAUAUAAGUUCAGCUAAUUUGUAUGUUUGGAUAAGGUGCAAAUACUAUAUGGCAUACAGUGUUGUAUGUUGCACUUCCCAUGUCUUUACAUCCAGUCCGACUUCUCAAGUUAAUGGCAUUUGUAUUGCGUAAUUUUAGUUUGCAAGAUAUCUAGACCUGUGUGGGAAUGAAAUUCUUAUUUAUACUUGGUGGUCUGCAGUGUUGGGUUCAUGAAAAACCUAACAUUUCAUUCCUAAGCUGAAUACAGAUUAAUGCCGAGAUGCAUCUGCAUACAGAGGUGACAGAGCAACACAGUGGGCUCAUUGUUGAUGAUGCGUGAUGACAUUAGCUUCUCAAUGUCAAAAGCUGCUUCUUAAGAGGCUCAAGGGCUAAAUUGUUUGCAUCAUCGCUUUGUUGCCAAAUUAUCACUUUUCAUAUCAUUUAUGACUGGCAGGUCGCAAGCGUUCUCGAACCACUUUCAGUUGCCCAAAUGCUGUGUCCUUUUUCGCAGUUUUUUGAUGCACUUAAGGGCGUGCCCGACUCAGGUUUUUUUCAGUUAUUUUCGUUUGCUUCUGGUGCAGCUGCCAAAAUAGUCUUGUCAUGAAAAUAUUCGCUGCGUGAGUGAGUGAGUGAGCGUGAACGGCUUUGAAUGCACGCCUGUUUGGUGACAGGAUUAUUUCAUCUCCCGAAUCGUUAGUCGUCAGAGGUGCGCUACCUUGUGCAAACCUCAAGCACCGUUUGCAGCAGACAAAGCAAGGGGCUUACAUCUAAAUGAUGUGGUGUGCAGAUCGCCACAGAAACCUUCAUAGGCAGCAAUGAAACCAAACGUAGUUGUAGGUCCGUGUGUUCCCUAUUUGCCCAUGCUUUGCAUCCCGUCUUUGAUUACCACUAAAUUGUGUCGUGUGGUCGACCCGAGCCAGCUAGUCCAGUUGGGUAUGAAGGAUCAGCACUGUAGGAAUUAGCAGUUUACACUAGUGCUAGUUUAUCGAUUAUUUGUUCAUAUUUUUUAAUGUAAAGCUGGUGCAAUAUGCCCUACCUUGAGUGGGACAGAGGAUUGCUCUUGUGUGUGUCCAAAAUAUUGUUUGGGUUCCUGUGUGUCAAAACAUUUUGAGAUCAUGUAAUAGAGUGUUUUGCGAGACUUGAUACGGUUUGGAAGCUGUACAGUUAGGCAGCACUGUGCGUAGAAGCGAAGGGGAAACUCGGACAGCACAUCUUAAUGUGCGGAUGACUUGUACAUUAUUUAUUGCUCCGCAAGUCCUCUUCCUUCUUAGCAACACUUGAAACUGUGUGUACAGCACCCACUGUGAAGUGUGCGCGACUUUGUGAAGUAGUAGUCCAAUCUUCAUUCUUUCGUUCCUUGUGGAUAUUGCGUCUGCUGGGUUGCCUCGGCGAUAUACUGAAAGCUCAUUUGAAGGUCACAAACUUGUAACAGUGUACGAAGUAUAUGAACCGUGCAUGGUUUGUUCCUGCAGCUCGUUCCAAUUGCACUGCUCCAGCACUGCAGAGUAGCUCUGUGUCGUGCCAUCAUUGAUUGCGUACUGCUGCUAAACACGGAGUUGUGGACUUUGGUGAUUUACAUUGUGUUUAUAGUGCCGUGUUCUCUUGCUCGAUAUAUUGCCCUGUACUGCUGCAUGAACUGCGGUGGCUGUGGUUCAUUGAGAGCGAGCGCAGUGAGUGAUUGAGUCAUGCUGAGAAUUUUUUUUCCAUCUUAUGCGUGCAGUUGAGAACUAGGAGAAGACUUGGAUGCCCUUGGAGGUAUUUGUGUGAGCUGGUGGUUCCUUGCGUUGAGAGAUAAAUAAAAGAUCAACUCUAUCUUGA
rnacentral:lncRNA from 1 species